rnacentral:rRNA from 1 species
AGUGAACGCUGGCGGCAGGCCUAAUACAUGCAAGUCGAACGGCAGCACGGCAGAGCUUGCUCUGUGGGUGGCGAGUGGCGGACGGGUGAGGAAUACAUGGGAAUCUGCCCAGUCGUGGGGGAUAACGUAGGGAAACUUACGCUAAUACCGCAUGCGCCCUUCGGGGGAAAGCCGGGGACCUUCGGGCCUGGCGCGAUUGGAUGAGCCCAUGUCGGAUUAGCUAGUUGGCGGGGUAAUGGCCCACCAAGGCGACGAUCCGUAGCUGGUCUGAGAGGAUGAUCAGCCACACUGGAACUGAGACACGGUCCAGACUCCUACGGGAGGCAGCAGUAGGGAAUAUUGGACAAUGGGCGCAAGCCUGAUCCAGCCAUGCCGCGUGAGUGAAGAAGGCCCUCGGGUUGUAAAGCUCUUUUGUCCGGAAAGAAAAGCGCCGGGUUAAUACCCUGGUGUCCUGACGGUACCGGAAGAAUAAGCACCGGCUAACUUCGUGCCAGC